rnacentral:rRNA from 1 species
UACAGAGGGUGCAAGCGUUAAUCGGAAUUACUGGGCGUAAAGCGUGCGUAGACGGUUGCGUAAGUCAGAUGUGAAAGCCCCGGGCUCAACCUGGGAAUUGCAUUUGUGACUGCACGGCUAGAGUGCGGCAGAGGGGGAUGGAAUUCCGCGUGUAGCAGUGAAAUGCGUAGAUAUGCGGAGGAACACCGAUGGCGAAGGCAAUCCCCUGGGCCUGCACUGACGCUCAUGCACGAAAGCGUGGGGAGCAAACAGG